ACCCUAAGCCUCCGUUUGGUUCGGGGUUAAGAAAAAAGUAGCUAUUCCAGGGAUAGGGUUAAGUUCAGGGUUAAAGUGGGGUUAAAGUUUUUUUGUGUUUGGUUGGAGGUUGGAGUUAGUAUAGGAUAGUGAAAAAAAAUGUUUGGUUGGAGUAGGUGGGAUAAGAAGAUAAUGAUUGAUAAAGAAGAAAAAGGUGAGGGGUCGGGACGCGUGCGGGAUUAAAGUUGGUAGGGGGAGUAGGGUUAAUGAUUGAUAAAGAAGAAAAAGGUGAGGGCUCGGGAUGCGUGCGGGGUUAAAGUUGGGAGGGGGAGUGGGGUUAGUAAACCCCACUAACCCGGGUUAGUAAAGAGUGGUGUUUGGGUAUAAAUUGGGGGUUAAGGGGUUAUUCCACCCCUUAACCCCCAACCAAACGGUAGCUAAAACCUUAAAACCCUAAACCCUAAACCCUAAACCCUAAAACCCUAAACCCCUAAACCCUAAACCCUAAAGCCCUAAGCCCUAAACCCUAAACUCUAAAAAUUUAAUUCACCAAAUCACUCAAUUCAAAAAAAUAUAAAAGUCUGAUA
rnacentral:lncRNA from 1 species